GCCCAGAGCAGCCCCUUCCAGGCCACAGGCUUAGGGCCUUAGCCUGCAGGCCGAGGGCAGGCCCAGGGACACAGUGAGGGGCCUGGGCUAUUUGAACAGCAGGGAGAAUUUCCCAUGCAGCAUCGCAGAGACUUUCCUAUCUCAUCACCAACUCAGGGCAGUUUCUCCAGGAACCUGGCAGGCCCCACCACAGGGAGACCCUGCUUCAAUCCGCCACACCCAGGCCUUGCCUGGUGGCCACUCUCUGCAGCCCUCCCCAGGGGUCCCUGGCCCAGCUCCAGGCCUGCUCAAUGUCCUGUUCCUAACACUGACAUCUCACAGCGACUGAGAUCCGACUACGGUCCAGGCCCCACCGGAGGUGCUUCACAGGAAUCAUUUCUGCCUCACGAUGGCCCUUUGAGGAGGAGGCUUUUAUCGUGCCCGUUGCAAAUGAGGAAACUGAGGCAUGGAGAGAGGUACUAACUCACACAAUAGCAGGAGACCCUGGAUGCAGCUGCAGGCAGUCGGCCCACAGAGCCUGCUCAUCUCAGGCCUGCCGGCUCCUCCACCUGCCUUCUGCAGUACCCUGGGAACCCCCCGAGGACAGGUGUCAUCGGUUGCCUCAUCUCACCGUCCCUGGGCCCAGCACGGAUGCAGGCACACAGUGGCUGCUCACGUAAGCUGAGUGAAAGGAGUCGUGGCUGCAGGGUGCUCUGGGCCUCCACCCUAGCUCCUGCUAUAGAAUGUCUCCAAUACAAACAUGCCU
rnacentral:lncRNA from 10 species